AGGUGUGUUGGUGUAAAAAGUGAUGCUGACUGAACUCAGGCAGUUGUGUUGGACCCUCUGUACCUUAUACAGGAGAUGACGGUAAACUUUGAAGUUUAAGAGGUUCUGUAAUUUUGGUUAUAAGUACAAGGUGUGUUGGUGU